rnacentral:rRNA from 1 species
AUUGAACGCUGGCGGCAUGCCUUACACAUGCAAGUCGAACGGCAGCACGGGGCAACCUGGUGGCGAGUGGCGAACGGGUGAGUAAUGCAUCGGAACGUGCCAUUGAGUGGGGGAUAACGUAGCGAAAGUUGCGCUAAUACCGCAUAUUCUGUGAGCAGGAAAGCAGGGGACCGCAAGGCCUUGCGCUCUUUGAGCGGCCGAUGUCAGAUUAGCUAGUUGGUGAGGUAACGGCUCACCAAGGCUUCGAUGUCUAGGGGUUCUGAGAGGAUUCACCCCCACACUGGUACUGAGACACGGACCAGACUCCUACGGGAGGCAGCAGUAAGGAAUAUUGGUCAAUGGACGCAAGUCUGAACCAGCCAUGCCGCGUGAAGGAAGACGGCCCUACGGGUUGUAAACUUCUUUUGUACAGGAAAAAACCACCGGUCGUGCAUCGGUGCUGAUGGUACUGUAAGAAUAAGGAUCGGCUAACUCCGUGCCAGCAGCCGCGGUAAU